AACGAACGCUGGCGGCAUGCCUAACACAUGCAAGUCGAACGAGACCUUCGGGUCUAGUGGCGCACGGGUGCGUAACGCGUGGGAACCUGCCCUUAGGUUCGGAAUAACUCCCCGAAAGGGGUGCUAAUACCGGAUAAUGUCUUCGGACCAAAGAUUUAUCGCCUUUGGAUGGGCCCGCGUUGGAUUAGCUAGUUGGUAGGGUAAAAGCCUACCAAGGCGACGAUCCAUAGCUGGUCGGAGAGGAUGCUCAGCCACACUGGGACUGAGACACGGCCCAGACUCCUACGGGAGGCAGCAGUGGGGAAUAUUGGACAAUGGGCGAAAGCCUGAUCCAGCAAUGCCGCGUGAGUGAUGAAGGCCUUAGUGUUGUAAAGCUCUUUUACCCGGGAUGAUAAUGACAGUACCGGGAGAAUAAGCUCCGGCUAACUCCGUG
rnacentral:rRNA from 1 species